CUGUGGAGUGGUUUGUGGACAAAACCGAAAGUAAAAAACUGUAAAGUUAAAUGGUCACCAUUAUUUGAGAACAUAACAGCUCCGUCUUUGUUCCAAAGAUUAAUGAACAUUAUAGAGCAUCUAGCCUAGGCCUACUGGACCUGCUGUGUUUGACCGGAAAAACACUUUGUGAUGAAAACGGAGACAUCGCCAGCGAUGGAGCUUCUUCCUCUUCUGUGUCUCUGCCUCCUGACUCGCUCUGGAGUCACGUCUGCUCAACUAAACGAAUAACCUGUGUAGUGUUUC